rnacentral:tRNA from 50 species
CGGGAUAGCUCAGCUGGUAGAGCAGAGGACUGAAAAUCCUCGUGUC